rnacentral:rRNA from 1 species
CCUACGGGCGGCAGCAGUGGGGGAUAUUGCACAAUGGGGGAAACCCUGAUGCAGCGACGCCGCGUGGGCGAAGAAGUAUUUCGGUAUGGAAAGCCCUAUCAGCAGGGAAGAAGAAAUGACGGUACCUGAGUAAGAAGCACCGGCUAAAUACGUGACAGCAGCCGAGGUAAUACGUAUGGUGCAAGCGUUAUCCGGAUUUACUGGGUGUAAAGGGCGUGUAGGCGGGAAAGAAAGUCAGAUGUGAAAACCAUGGGCUCAACCUGUGGCCUGCAUUUGAAACUGGUGUGCUUGAGUACUGGAGAGGCAGACGGAAUUCCUAGUGUAGCGGUGAAAUGCGUAGAUAUUAGGAGGAACACCAGUGGCGAAGGCAGUCUGCUGGACAGCAACUGACGCUGAGGCGCGAAAGCGUGGGGAGCAAACAGGAUUAGAUACCCGGGUAGUC